CUUUAAUGGGUCCAUCGAUCCACCGCCUCUAUCAUCGGCUUCUAAACCUCACACUCUUAACACUUCUCGAUGUCUCCUCCAUCUUCUCCACCGAUCACCUUCUCCAAUCGAGAUUCUCCACCGCCUUCAUCUGCUGAGCUUCUUUAAUCACAUACAAAGAUUAUCCACCGCCUUAUCCUCCAUCGACUCCACCUCUGGUCACCUCCUCUUCUCCUAAUCAAAUAGCACCGAUCGGAACUGUGUCUGCAACGUCUUCGUCGGUUUCCACAUGUGAAAAAAUAAUCGCUCACCACAAACCGAAUCUCGACCUCAAGUCGAAGCUCAAGAUUAGGGCUUUAUUUUGCUAGAUUACAAUUUUUUGGAUUUCCCGUGGAAUGGAAAUGGAUUCUUAGCGAGACUGGGAGUAAGAGAGACGGGUUGUUGGACAAUCAUAGGUUUUCCAAAAUCCAGAUGUCGAUGUGGCGAAUGGGGGAGUUUCUUUGGACUUGAAAAGUUACUGUCAACAAACCUUCCAGAGGCAACAACCAACAAGAAAUGAGAGGUGUGGUUAUGUUUAGCAGAUCGCUUUCUACCUACAAGCUGAAGGGUAUUUGGGUCAAUGUGUUUUGCCCUGAGUUUAUUCAAAGUGAUAUGGCUGAAAAAGUGAGUUAGUUUAUUGAAAACAUAGGAGGCUAUGUUUCCAUGGAUACAUUGAUUCAAGGUAUCCUCUUUUACUUCAUUAUAGGAUAGAAAAAAAAGACAUUUUUAAAACGCUAAAUGCAAAAACAGCCAAGACUGCCAAACAGAGUAUGUAUUGACCAAAGAGAAGGUUGACCUUUUGAAAUUGGAGUUUAAAAGAGAUGAGUUGCCGUUACUGAGGAGAGGGAUCGAUUGAAAACUGUUGUUCAUCAGUUAUAAUUGAAUCUCAUUCUAUUUGGGAUUGAUUUUUCUUUUAUCAUAUUAGAUCUCCUAAUUAAUGUCAUCUCAUUUGUCAACCUAUUGGCUCAUCAUUUCAAAUUUUAAAUUUAAAAUUUUUUACUCUAAUUACAUUAAAUUGAUAACAUUACAAUAAAAAUUAGAGUAAAUUACACAAAUGGUCCCUAUGGUUUAGGGUAUUUUGCGAGCUUGGUCCCUAACUUAUUUGUUUAACUCGGAAGAUCCUUGGUAUUUGUUUUUGUUACGUGUUUAGACCCUACUGUUUGUUUUUGUUAUGCGUUUGAUCAAUGUGUUACCAAAAAAGACUAUUAUUUAAAUAGGAAAAAAUGUUGGGUAGGUAAGGUAAGGUGAGGAAAAAAUGUUGGGGUUGUGGGUGUGUUUAUUUAAAUAAACUAAAAAAUCAAUGGCAAAAUAGAUUUUUUAGGUAAGACAGGGACCAAGCGUAUAACAAAAACAAACAGUAGGGAUCUUCCGAGUUAAAAAAAUAAGUUAGGGAUCAAACGCGAUAUUACCCUAAACCAUACAUUCGUGUAAUUUACUUUAAAAUUAAAAUAAAAUCAAUAAAUAUUAUAAGGUGAUAUAAUUUCAUGUAUUUAUUUAGAUCAACGAUUAUAAUUUUAUAUAACUAAAAAAAUAUCUCUUAGUUAAUAAUUUAUUAAUAAUGAACUUUGUUUCUUGAGAACAUUUGAGAUGAUGAUGAGUUCAUUUAAACUCUUUUGUUAUUUAUUGAUGUCUUGGACGGUAAGAUAACUAGAAGGGAUAGGUAGGCAUUUGAAUUAGACAAUGACCAGAAGUCGUGAUUGGAGCGUUGGAAGUAGUUCAUAACCUCCGAUAGACUUUUCUCAUGAGUUUUUAUCCAUAUUAGUGUUAUACAUAAAACUAUUUUCCAUUCUAGUAUACAUUCAAAACUAUUUACCUUAUUAGUAUUAUUUUGAAUUUAAAACUAUUAUUAUUGUUUUUUAUUAUUAAAAAAUAUAUAAUAAAAAAAAAUAACGCUCCCUAUAUGCUCUGGAACAGAACAACGUACAAAAAAAAAAAAAAACGAAAACAGUUAGGGCUUCAAUCGUCUUCUUCAGCCAACGGCUUCAUCCGCCAUAGCCAGCCGUCUGUGUCUUCUUCCUCCUACACUGGCCACCUACCUGCAACCUCUUCUGCCCGUCGCCGCCCUCCUACCGCCUCCAUAAACUCGCCGGUUUCAAGGCAUGCAACCUAUUUUCCUUCUCGUUUUUUGUAGUUUUUUCUGUUUAAUUCAUUGCACUCUCAUUUUUUCUUGAUUUUGAUCCUUCUCCACCGAAUUGAAGAUCAAGUUCUGCAUCUGUUUGAUUUUUUUGUAUAUGUCACAGCUUGUUUUUUGAUGUUUUUAGAUGGAAUUGGUUGCAAUUGUUACUUCUGUUUCUUUUUUCUUGUUGUCAUAUAUAAUAUGAUAAAUUUUUGAUUAGUUGUUGUUUCUUUCUUCUUGUUGUCAUAGAUGAUAUAAUCAAAUUUUGAUCAGUUUUUGUUUCUUUUUUCUUGUUGUCAUAGAUGAUAUAAGCAAUUUUUUAUUAGUUUUUGUUUCUUUUUUCUUGUUGUCAUAGAUGACAUGAUGAGUUUUUUUAUUAGUUUUUGUUUGUUUUUAUUUGUUUUGUAGAUGAAUUCUAUUAGUUUUUUAUUAGUUUUUGUUUGUUCUUAUUUGUUUUGUAGAUGAAUUCUAUUAUAGACAUGAUUGACAAUGAUGAUUUUUCUAUAAUCUCUCAAGCUGCUGUUAUAACUAAUCCUCUCUAAUAAAUGAAGGUUUUUUUUUCACUUGUCACACUCUCAUGCAUUAUGUCACAUGUCAUUUUGUCAUAAUUUUGAGAUAUUUAUUUAGUUUCAAUAAAUUAAACAUACCAUAAUAACUAUAUUAAUUUCAAGUUUUAAAUUUCAAAUUUCAAACUUCAAUUUCAAUUUUAAAUAAAUUUACAAUUGAAACAUUCGUAUUUAAAAUUUCGUUAUAAUUAACACAUUUAAUAUACGGGUCUGACAACUAAACACAUAAUUUUAAUUUAAUUUUUUCAUUUUUUAUAAUUUAUACUUAUUUCAAAUUUCAAAUUCCAAUAAAAUUUCCUAUUUAAUAAUUUGUAUUUACCAUUUUGUUUUAAUCAACCCGUAUAUAAUACGGGUAUUACAACUAGUAUGAUGAAUAUAGACAAUGAAAAUGAGUUACAUGAAAAUUUGGAAGAUGAAAUUGGAGAGGAAAAUGAUGAAGAAGCACCUUUUGACAACAAUGUUGAAGUACCUUCAAUUUUUACUAAUAUGGAAGGAACAAAUUUGAAUAUUGAUGACAAUUGGAUUGUGUCGCAAUCAACGAGUAAGAAUGAUUUCAUACGAGAGUUGGGAAAAGAUUCUUUCAAGGAUAAAUAAGAACUUGUUAGAGCAAUCAAGAUCCAUUGCAUUAGGACACAUAGACAAUUUGAGGUCAUUGACUCACGCCCAACUAUUUUGACUCUAAGAUGCAAGUUAUACUUACAAUCUGGUUGCAAAUGGAAACUUCAUGCAAGUAAACGUAAACGUAGUGGAUAUUUUGAAAUCACAACUUAUACCGGUCUACAUACUUGUUUGCACUAUAAGCUUUCUCAAGAUCAUCCGAACCUAGAUGCAAGCUUGAUUGCUAUGGAAACUAGGCACCUUAUAAAAGCACAACCUUCUAUCAGUAUUCCUGCUUUGAGAGCUGAAAUAGUUGAAACACUAGGCUAUACUCCUUCAUAUAAGAAGGUUUGGGUUGGAAAGCAAAAAGCAAUUGAACAUGUGUCUGGAAAUUGGGAAGAGUCUUAUGUCGCUUUACCAAAAUAUCUAGGUGCACUUCAAAAGUUCAAUCUAGGAACUAUUGUUGAAUGGUGUGUUUCAAGAUCAACCGAUGUAGAUGAAGUUGAAUUUAGGCGUGCUUUUUUGGGCUUUUGCUCCCUCUAUCAAAGGGUUUCAUUAUUGUCGACCGGUGAUUAGCAUUGAUGGUACACACUUGUAUGGUAAAUACACAGGUAAGAUGCUCAUUGCAAUGGGAGUUGAUGGUAAUAAUCAGAUUUUGCCACUUGCAUUUGCUAUUGUAGAAAAUGAAUCUGAUGAUACUUGGAAUUGGUUUCUUUCUCAUGUUAAGAAUCAUGUGGUGAAAGACCGUGAAGGCAUAUGUCUAAUAUCUGAUCGUCAUGGGGGAAUCCUUAAGGCUGUCAAUGAGCAUGGAUCUCCAUGGUUAGAGUCACGUGGUUUUCAUAGGUAUUAUUAUAUUUCUUAAUUAUUCUUUUUAUGACAUUUCAAAAACUUGCUUCAUUAACUUACAUUUUUUUUUAUUUUAAAUGUAUUGUUUACGACAUUUCAUCAACAACUUUUAUGACAAAUUUCGUAAUUCAAAAUUGAAAGUUUUAGCUUAUCGUGUCGGGAGUCAGAAUCAAAUUCGAAAGUUCAACUCCAUCAUGGAAGAAAUUGGAAAGCUAAAUCCACAUGCUCGACAUUAUUUGGAGAGUCAUCCACUUAAUAGAUGGACACUUGCAUAUGAUGGUGGCAGGAGAUAUGGGUUACUCACAAUAAAUUUGUCAGAGAUUUUCAAUAGUGUACUUAAAAGUGCUCGAACCAAAGGGCUUGUAGCCCAGCGGUAUCAGGUGGUGCCCUCCCUCUUUGAGGUCGAGGGUUCAAGUCCCGUCGUGGACAUAGGUGGAAUAGAUGUUGUUAGCUUAGGAGUAGAUUAAAUUUGCCGGUUCAAAAAAAAAAAAAAAACUUAAAAGUGCUCGUUUUUUACCAAUCACAACUUGUGUGCAACUUACAUUCUAUAGAAUGGUGCAUUAUUUUGAGGUGAGACGUCCUUUAGGAUCUAGUUUUCAAGCUAAUGGAGAUGCACAUACUCCACAUGUUAUUGCAAAACAAGUAGCUUUGAUGGCAAAAGCAAGUGCACAUUCCUUGAAAUCUUUUAAUCGAGAAAAAGGUAUAUUUGAGUUGAUAACUAAAAAAGGUUGAAAUGUGCAAGUAGUUAAUUUGGAACAAAAAACUUGCAAAUGUGGUAAGUGGGAGGCAUUUAAAUAUCCUUGUUCUCAUGUUUUGAGUGCAUGUGUCAAACUCUCUUUGAAUAGUUGGCAAUAUGUUGAUAAAUGUUACUCGAUUGUAUAUUAUUGUGCUACUUGGGCAUCUGAGUUCUCCCCGCUUCCUCAUGAAGCAUAUUGGCGACAAUCAUCAUUUAAUGCAUUACUUCCAAAUUUAGAAUUAUUACGGAAUAAAAAAGGUUGGCCUCGUUCAACAAGAUUAAAAAAUGGUAUGGAUAUUAAAGAAGGAAGAAAUGCCACUCUUUGUGGAAUUUGUAGGCAACCAGAUCAUAAUCGAAAACGGUGUCCGUCUAAGUCAAGGUAAGGAUCUGUUACUGACUCAAGUUCAAGCUAAUUGUGAUGUUUUUCUUUUUGUAACAAACAAUAUUGGAGGUUUUUUUUUUUAAUUGUGGUGUUUUCCUUUUUUUAACAAACAAUAUUGGAGUUUUUUUUAAUUGUGGUGUUUUUUUUUAUA